GUAGAACCCGAGUCACCCCCUCCCCCUUUUUUCUUUUCUUUUCGCCGUCGCACUCCUCCGGCGAAUUCGUCGCCGUCCGGCCACCCCAGGACGCAUCCUUGGGCACGGCGUGAUCCUCUCUUCCUUCUCCUUCUAGCCAUCUUGUGUUGGCCAGUGGAGGAAGAUUUGAGGGUGUUUGGAGACGUGAACAGUAGCGUGAAUAGUGCUGCCGAGUUCUUGAUAUUUUUGGGUUUGAAUUUCGACUUUUCUGCUUGUUUUGGUGGCUGUUGAAGGACGUACUGAGCCCUCGUGCGAGGAGGACACAGGCAGGCAGCAGGGUUAGCUGCGGGACUC